rnacentral:lncRNA from 1 species
CCCGCCGGUCGAAGUGCUCGCCUUCCUCCGCGAACACCCGAGUCUGCGGCUGGAGCCCGGCGCCGCUAAGGUCCGCGGGGCCAGAGGAGGAGGUGCGGACCUGCUCGGGCGGCCCCCGCACACCCUGACCCUCUCGCCCGCCCUCCGCCCCGCAGGUGAAAUGCGCUCUCACCGGCCACGAGUUGCCCUGCCGUCUGCCCGAGCUCCAGGUCUACACCCGCGGCAAGAAGUACCGGCGGCUGGUCAGCGCCUCUCCGGCCUUCGAUUACGCGGAGUUCGAGCCGCACAUCGUGCCCAGCACCAAGAACCCGUACGUGGGAGGGGGCGCAGGCCGGGUACUGCGGGAGGGGCCCCGAGUGGGGCCAGGUCCCAGCGCUGAGUCUGGCCGCUGCCGCGAGGUGGAUUCGGAACCCCGGCCCCUCCCCGCUGGCUGCGCGCUCCUCGAGGGCUUGGCGCCGUCCUUCGUAGGUAGAUGUAAGGAGACUGGACAUCCGGGUUGCAGGCUAGAGCUCCCCGGUGAGCCCCCUCUCCGCGGUGCGUGUUUGCUUUUUGUAAAGCUGAGGCUUGUCACCUAAGGCUCUGAAUGCGGUGAGUUCCACGUAUUUAAGGAGAACUUUGGUGUAGCUGAACGUGUACGGUUGACAGCACUAGUUGAAGGGAGGGGGCCGGGGGAUGGGGAGGGGGCCGGGGGAUGCUCCCGUUCAUCUAGGACUUUGCCAAGCCAGGUCUUCACUUGCAUCCCCUUGUGCGGGAGCGGAUGCUGAUGACCAGGUGUGUUCCAGGUAAACGCCGAGAGGUCACGGUCCGUCCGGGUCACUGGUUCUCCACCCCAGUUGCGGAGUGGAAUUGUUUUCCAGCCUUUAAGAAUCUUGAUGCCCAGUCUGCCUCGGAGACUUCCUUGCCAGACUCCGGGAAUGAUUCCAAGAUGCAGCCGUGGUUGGAGAGCCACUGGUCCAGACCCUCGUGAACAUCCCUGCCAGCCCACGUUUGCCUGUCCCCUAGGCACCAGCUGUUCUGCAGACUCACCCUGCGGCACAUCAACAAGGUCCCCGAGCAUGUGCUGAGGCACACCCAGGGCCAGCGGUACCAGAGAGCUCUGCGUGAAUGUAAGUAGCCGUGGGCGGACGCAGCCUGCCUCAGUUUACAAGUAUUUCGGGUGCAUGCCUGCUCUUCUCCAGGACCAGUGCCCUCGAAGGCAGAAGUGGUGUCUCAGUCAGCUUUUGGCAGUAGCUGGUGGUGCACCCGGCCCAGCCCAGGGGAGGGGUGGCGGCGGAGACUGCGAUGAAGCAGGCAGUGGGCUCCGAUGUAACCGUGAGUGCUGUGGCGGUCUUGUGCCGAGGGCCGCCAGGAGGCCUGCCUAAUGCGGAAGCCCUGGGGAGGCGGGGUUUCUGGGCUGAGACUUUAGGGACAUAGCGAGUAGAGGCAAGAGUGCUCCCGUCAGAGGAAGGAUUCCGGCAAGGUUAGAGGCAGAAAAACACUUGGUUGUGGGAGGUCCUGAAGGACGGCCACUGUGACACCACGCAAGAUGGGGUCGGGGUCAGCAAGGUAGGUGGGACAAGACCACAGGGGGUCUUGGAGGCCACAGAGGACUGAAGCAGGGACUGGCAGUCACUGUGUGCGUCAGGGUCACUGUGGCUCUUGAGGGCAGGGGUGGGGGGUGGGAAGGAGUGGAGCAGGGGACCCUUGGCGGCUGUGCAGCCAGCUGAAGGUGACGGUGGCCGGGGCUACAGGUGCUGGCAGGGAAGAUGUGGACAGAUUGCAGCUGUUCUGUGGGUAGAAUCAGUAGGUGAGGGAGAGGAGGAAGUCAGCCGUGACUCCCGGAUUCCUGGCUCGAGAACUGGGGUGCUUACGAGAGUGGCAUCUGAGUCACAGGCUUUGUGGGGAAAUGAAGCAUUCUCUUCAACGUGUGUCAGGGAAGGUGGCUGUUGAAGACACGGGCCGGUGCUCAGAUGAUGCACACCACUGACACUGAGUGGCGUUUGCGUCCACAGAGCCACAGAAGAGGGGACACGAAGAGCCCCAGGAGGGGGAGAAGCAGGCGGGGUGGUGUCGGGACGGAGGCGUCGAGGAGGAAAUGGUAGACGCUUCUCAGAUGCUCCCGAAGGGAAGGUGGGGACAGAGCCGGCGGGAGCCCCACGGGGAAGAGAGGGCCAGGUGGGGCAGAGCCAGUGGGUCUGGGUAUGGAGAGAGAGGCAAGAUGAGGGAGAGAACUCUGAAGGCUGUGUUUCCCCAAGAAGAAAUGAGGCCCAGUCUUCGCCCACGGGCAAAAGUGAAGGACCCGUGAAGGGUCCCACGUUGGCACAGAGCCUGGGGGCUGCUGGGUGUGGGUGGGAAGAAAGGGACUGGGUUUUCCCCAGUAAGAGAGUCAUCCUGAUGCUGGAGCGUGUGGCUCACGGGACCAGCGGCCGAGAGGAGCCAGAGCCCGGCAGCCGGGGACUCUGGCCGGGGGUUCUGAGAGGGGACUCCAGGUGUGGGGUCCGCUGGCCCCGAGGCCGUGUGGGGCCACAGAGCGAGUGGCAGAGAUGAGGCAGGAGAGAAGAGCCUGGCGGUGGGGGACAUCAGAGGCCAGGGCCCGGUCCCCUCCCCUUCCUCCCUGAGACAGGAGAGCGCCACCCACAGAGGGCCACCUUCAACAGCCAGGCCCCUUGGUGCCACCCCGCUGCUCAUCGGGGCUUGGUCUGUGUCCGCCACGCCGGGCGUCCGGCCUCCCCAAGGCCUCUGUACACAAGACGGUGUGGAGGCCUCGUCGCGGCCCCCCCUGCUCCGGGCAGGGUCAGCAGCGGCCAAGCUUCCGCUCUCGCCCAGGCUGGGGCCCGGCACAGCUCUGCGUCUGCUCACGCCUCGCCCGCGCCCCCACUGGCCUC